AUGAACGCUGGCGGCGUGCCUAAUACAUGCAAGUCGAGCGAACAGACGAGGAGCUUGCUCCUCUGACGUUAGCGGCGGACGGGUGAGUAACACGUGGAUAACCUACCUAUAAGACUGGGAUAACUUCGGGAAACCGGAGCUAAUACCGGAUAAUAUAUUGAACCGCAUGGUUCAAUAGUGAAAGACGGUUUUGCUGUCACUUAUAGAUCGAUCCGCGCCGCAUUAGCUAGUUGGUAAGGUAACGGCUUACCAAGGCAACGAUGCGUAGCCGACCUGAGAGGGUGAUCGGCCACACUGGAACUGAGACACGGUCCAGACUCCUACGGGAGGCAGCAGUAGGGAAUCUUCCGCAAUGGGCGAAAGCCUGACGGAGCAACGCCGCGUGAGUGAUGAAGGUCUUCGGAUCGUAAAACUCUGUUAUUAGGGAAGAACAAAUGUGUAAGUAACUAUGCACGUCUUGACGGUACCUAAUCAGAAAGCCACGGCUAACUACGUG
rnacentral:rRNA from 1 species